rnacentral:rRNA from 1 species
GUGGGGAAUAUUGGACAAUGGGCGAAAGCCUGAUCCAGCCAUGCCGCGUGUGUGAAGAAGGUCUUCGGAUUGUAAGGCACUUUAAGUUGGGAGGAAGGGCAGUAAGAUAAUACCUUGCUGUUUUGACGUUACCGACAGAAUAAGCACCGGCUAACUUCGUGCCAGCAGCCGCGGUAAUACGAAGGGUGCAAGCGUUAAUCGGAAUUACUGGGCGUAAAGCGCGCGUAGGUGGUUUUGUAAGUUGGAGGUGAAAUCCCCGGGCUCAACCUGGGAACUGACUCCAAAACUGCAUGACUAGAGUACGGUAGAGGGUAGUGGAAUUUCCUGUGUAGCGGUGAAAUGCGUAGAUAUAGGAAGGAACACCAGUGGCGAAGGCGACUACCUGGACUGAUACUGACACUGAGGUGCGAAAGCGUGGGGAGCAAACAGGAUUAGAAACCCCGGUAGUCC